rnacentral:misc_RNA from 1 species
GAUGAAGAACGUAGCAAAAUGCGAUAAGUAAUGUGAAUUGCAGAAUUCAGUGAAUCAUCGAAUCUUUGAACGCACAUUGCGCCCGCCAGUAUUCUGGCGGGCAUGCCUGUUCGAGCGUCAUUUCAACCCUCAAGCACAGCUUGGUGUUGGGACUCGCGUUAAUUCGCGUUCCUCAAAUUGAUUGGCGGUCACGUCGAGCUUCCAUAGCGUAGUAGUAAAACCCUCGUUACUGGUAAUCGUCGCGGCCACGCCGUUAAACCCCAACUUCUGAAUGUUGACCUCGGAUCAGGUAGGAAUACCCGCUGAACUUAAGCAUAUCAAUAACGGAGGA